ACUGUGAUCGUCUAGCGAUCAGAACAUUGCGUUGUGGCCGUAAAAGCCCAGGUUCGAGUCCUGGUCACGGCA
rnacentral:tRNA from 1 species